UACGGGGGGGGUAAGCGUUGUUCGGAAUUACUGGGCGUAAAGGGCUCGUAGGCGGCCAACUAAGUCAGACGUGAAAUCCCUCAGCUUAACUGGGGAACUGCGUCUGAUACUGGAUGGCUUGGAUCCGGAAGAGGGAUGCGGAAUUCCAGGUGUAGCGGUGAAAUGCGUAGAUAUCUGGAGGAACACCGAUUGCGAAGGCAGCUCGCUGGGACGUAACUGACGCUGAGACGCGAAAGCGUGGGGAGCAAACAGG
rnacentral:rRNA from 1 species